GUCCUCGCUUUCUUUCAGACGCAGAAGGAUAAAAUCCAGGGCAAAAUCCAUCCACCCAUCCCGAGUGAGGAGGUUCCCCCGAGCAGGAAGUAAAGCUGGACAUCAGCAGUCAAGGCAAUCCACUCGGAGUAGGCCAAGCCCCAGUCACCAACCGGCCGACGCGCCGGGUUUGCCGCUCUCCCGAGCCCUGGGGAAGAAUCCCGGGACUCGGCGAUGAAGCCUCUGCCUUUUCUGUUUAAAGGUGUCACCAGGGUAGCCUUCAGCAAUGGCCGAGGAGUUGCGCCCAGGCGUGCCCCACGACGAUGGCGUCAGCCUCCGAGUGCGGCUGAAGCGUGCGGCCCCAGGAGCCGGGCAUUCUUGGGAAAAGAACGAAGAAACAACAGGAAGUUGUUUAACAAGAGUGCCAGCAGGACCUUCCCAGCUGUCGAGGCAGCCUUCCCUUGCACCUGACACAGACCGGCAUCCCCAGAUGUCUGAGAGAUAAGUAGAGGGCUACGACCCACAGAGGGGAUGAAACCAGGGCGCAGG